AAAAGCUCGUAGUUGGAUCUCAGCUCCGGCCGGACGGUCCGCCUACCGGUGGUUACUGUUCGCAGCCGAGCGUUCAGGCGGUUAUCUCUGAUGAUCUUCACCGGUUGUCUCGGGUGACCGCCAAGUUUACUUUGAAAAAAUUAGAGUGCUCAAAGCAGGCGUGACGCCUGAAUAAUUGUGCAUGGAAUAAUGGAAUAGGACCUCGGUUCUAUUUUGUUGGUUUUCGGAACACGAGGUAAUGAUUAAGAGGGACAGACGGGGGCAUUCGUAUUGCGACGCUAGAGGUGAAAUUCUUGGACCGUCGCAAGACGAACUACUGCGAAAGCAUUUGCCAAGAAUGUUUCCAUUAAUCAAGAACGAAAGUUAGAGGUUCGAAGGCGAUCAGAUACCGCCCUAGUUCUAACCAUAAACGAUGCCAGCCAGCGAUCCGGCUGUGUUCCUCAAAUGACACGCCGGGCAGCUUCCGGGAAACCAAAGCUUUUGGGUUCCGGGGGAAGUAUGGUUGCAAAGCUGAAACUUAAAGGAAUUGACGGAAGGGCACCACCAGAAAUGGAGCCUGCGGCUUAAUUUGACUCAACACGGGAAAACUUACCCGGCCCGGACACAGGAAGGAUUGACAGAUUAAGAGCUCUUUCUUGAUUCUGUGGGUGGUGGUGCAUGGCCGUUCUUAGUUGGUGGGGCGACUUGUCUGGUUAAUUCCGAUAACGAACGAGACUCUAGCCUACUAAAUAGACGUUCCCAUCAUCUUUCGUGGGACGUUCUUCUUAGAGGGACAAGCGGCGUUUAGCCGCACGAGACAGAGCAAUAACAGGUCUGGGAUGCCCUUAGAUGUCCGGGGCCGCACGCGCGCUACAUUGAAGGAAUCAGCGUGUGCUUUCCCUGUCCGAAAGGACUGGGUAACCCGUUGAACCUCCUUCGUGCUGGGGAUUGGAAACUGUAAUUGAUUCCAUGAACGAGGAAUUCCCAGUAAGCACGAGUCAUCAGCUCGUGUUGAUUACGUCCCUGCCCUUUGUCCACACCGCCCGUCGCUACUACCGAUUGAAUGAUUUAGUGAGGUCUUCGGACUGGCGCUCGGAUUGGCCUUCGCGGUCGAGCCGGUGUGCCGGAAAGAUGACCAAACUUGAUCAUUUAGAGGAAGUAAAAGUCGUAACAAGGUUUU
rnacentral:rRNA from 1 species